rnacentral:rRNA from 1 species
GACGAACGCUGGCGGCGUGCUUAACACAUGCAAGUCGAACGAAGAGCGAUGGAAGCUUGCUUCUAUCAAUCUUAGUGGCGAACGGGUGAGUAACGCGUAAUCAACCUGCCCUUCAGAGGGGGACAACAGUUGGAAACGACUGCUAAUACCGCAUACGAUCUAAUCUCGGCAUCGAGGAUAGAUGAAAGGUGGCCUCUACAUGUAAGCUAUCACUGAAGGAGGGGAUUGCGUCUGAUUAGCUAGUUGGAGGGGUAACGGCCCACCAAGGCGAUGAUCAGUAGGCGGUCUGAGAGGAUGAACGGCCACAUUGGGACUGAGACACGGCCCAGACUCCUACGGGAGGCAGCAGUGGGGAAUCUUCCGCAAUGGACGAAAGUCUGACGGAGCAACGCCGCGUGAGUGAUGACGGCCUUCGGGUUGUAAAGCUCUGUUAAUCGGGACGAAAGGCCUUCUUGCGAAUAGUGAGAAGGAUUGACGGUACCGGAAGAGAAAGCCACGGCUAACUACGUG